rnacentral:ncRNA from 1 species
UUCAGGUAGAGGCGCAGCCAAGAAUAGUAAAUGUGGGGAGAGCAGCCAGCUCGUUGAAACACACUGAAAGGCAAGGCUGCCGAAGAAUGUCGUCCGGCGACCGAUGUUCUGGCUGUAGGCUGAAUAAGUUUGCAGCUGUCAUCAGGAGUUUGAUGGAGAGCUAUCGG